GGGGAUGCUCCAUCCUUCAGAGCGUCUUUGUGGCCUCCUCUGGACAUGAUCCAAGGUCCAUGUCCCUCCUGUGCUGAGGGAUCCAGAGCUGGAUGCAGUAUUCCAGCUGUGGUCUCACCGCAGCAGAGCAGAGAGGCAGAAUCACUUCCCUCGACCUGCUGGCAAUGCUUCUCAUGCUCAGACAUCUCCCUUUGCUGCCUCCCCUGUCCCCCCUUUGCCUCCCAGGCAAUGCCCACAUUCGUGUUUGUGCUUUGUUUUGUUUGAUCUGAUUGGCAGAGGCGCUGCCCACGAGGACGCUGCCAGCAGGGUUUGGGUGACGCUCUUGGAGGUCAGAGAAGGGUGUGGGAGUUGUUGCUCUUCUUUCCCAGGAGAGCGGUGUGAGGGACAUCGUUCCUCAUCUGGAUAGGCCUUGGACGGCAUUGUGCAACUGGAACAAGAACUGAAGUACUGAAGAUGGAGCAAGUUAUAGAUUUACAUCAUGACAUAACAAUAUUGAAAUCUGGUGUCCCAUUGACAACUUUCCAUUCCUCUGACUUUGCAAUCAAUAUGCUUACUGGCAAGUGAAGACAUCACGAAUAUUUGUACAUAUUAGCGGUUAAAUGCAGAAAUUACAUUUUGAAUUCUCUGACAGGAGAGCAGUCACCCCUACAACACAAUUUUGAGAGUUCAAUUGAGAAACAAAAACUUGUGAGCCCAAACAAAACAUCUUGAAUUUCUCAUUUCAAUUGCUAAAUGCUCACCCAGGCUGCAUAUGAAUGAAUUUCCGAGCUGAAAUUAUGUGCAUAAAGUAUUCAGCAAAUAGCUCUGUGUAAUGAACAAAUGUGACUGAACUGCUGAAGAGAAAGCAAGGUAUGAUUUAUCCAAUCACCUACUCUUUAUGGCUGAUUCCCUAGGCUCAAAUUAGGCAAUAAUCAAGGAUCCUUCCACACCACAGCUGGAGCAACGUCGGAUGGGCUGUGAGCCUGCAGACACAGGAUUUGAGAGCUUCUGCUUAGCUGGGGCCAGUGCUCUCAGCAUCCAACACUUCUUCAGAGCACCAAAGCGCACAACCAGUUCUGGCACAGACUCUCGGACACCCACAUGCAGCAGGAAAUUGCAAUUGGUGAUCUUACUUCAAAGUACUCUCAAGUGUCUCUGUGCCAAAUAAUACAUGGCCUAAAACAGACCAACUGCACUCUCGUAGUGAGCAGGGUUAUCGCAUAGGCACAAAACUUAGCUGGUGUCGUAUCUGAGGCUUGUGGUGCAUCCAGAGGAGGGCAACAAAGCUGGUGAAGGGGCUGGACAACCAGUCUUACGAGAGAUGGCUGAGGGAACUGGGGUUGUUUAGCCUAGAGAGAAGAUGGAUUGAGGGGAGACCUUAUCACUUCCUACAACUACCUGAAAGGAGGUUGUAGCAAGGUGAGGGUUGAUCUCCCAAAUAACAAGUGAUAGGGUGAGAGGGAAUGGCCUCAAAUUUUGCCAGGGGAGGUUCAGAUCAGAUAUCAGGAAAAAUUUCUUCACCUAAAGGGUUCUCAAGCACCAGAACGGCUGCCCAGGGAAGUGGUUGAGUCACGAUCCCUGAAGGGAUUUAGAAGACGGGUGGAUGAGAUGCUCAGGGAUAUGGUUUAGUAGUGGACAGGUAUGGUUGGACUUGAUGAUCUCAAAGUUCUUUUCCAACCAAUACGAUUCUAUGAUUUUAAGUGGUGCGGGAGAUAUUGUCAAGGCUCACUUGAAGGAUAUUUUUGAAAGCCUUAAAAAAAUUCCCAUGAACUGUUCUGAGCACUGCAGGCAACACUUUCCCGCCUAAGAAAGGAAUGUGAAAACUUGUAUUUCCUCCCUAAAAGGAAAUUGCCACUGCCUGUCUCUGGUCCUGCAUGAGCCAACUAAGCCUCACUGUAGAAUAGGCAGUAUGAGUUGAAUUCUAGCCCUGGGGAAAUCAGAGCUGAGCUAUUGUUCAGUGGCAUCAUGAUUUAAUUCAGUGUGAAUGGGGAAAAAAAUCAAGGCAAAACUAUGAGAUCCCAUCCAGCAAUACACUGAAAUCCACAUCUCAGCUUAAGGUCAUGAAUAGCCUCAAAUCAAAGUACUGGAUAUACUGGUCUUCAGUGAAUAAAAAAUGGGUUUAUUUAUGCACAGCAAUACAUUUUAAGAAUGAUGAUGUUUUAAGUUGCCUAGUUCCUUGCAGCAUUUUGCAAUUUCUGUUUCCAGUUACCUUAAUUGCAGCGGUGUGGUGUGGAGCGAGUGAGAACUUCACUUCCCAGGCCAGCUCUUCUCCCUCUCUGCUCCCUGAGAGAGUCCCGUUGAGGGGGAAAUCUGCCCCUGUAGUGUCAGAAGAGUGAAGUGAGCAACAGUUUCAAAUGCUGUUUUACACUGAAACAUUUGUUUGAUAGUUGGUGUAAUGUAGUCUGUAAUAUAAUUAAUUAACAGUCCAAAACACUUCCCUAGUUCUGCCUUGGUGCCCUGCCAGUGAUUCAUAGAAGCAUAGAAUCACAGAAUGGUUUGGGUUGGAAGGGACCUUUACAGGCCAUCAGUCCAACGCCCCUGCCAUGGUCAGGGACAUCUCCCAGUGGAUCAGGUUGCUCCAAGCCCCAUCCAACCUGGCCUUGAACACUUCCAGGGAUGGGGCAGCCACCACUUCCCUGGGCAACCUGGGCCAGUGCCUCACCACCCUCACAGGAAAACAUUUCUUCCUAAGAUCUAUUCAUAAUCUCCCCUCUUUCAGCUUAAAAACAUUCCACAUUUUCCUAUCCCUGCACUCUCUGAUACAGAUCCCCUCUCCAGAUUUCCUGUAGCCCCCUUUCAGUACUGGAAGGUUGCUGUAAGAUCUCCGCAGAGCCUUCUCUUCUCGAGGCUGAACAAGCCCAACUUUCUCAGCCUUUCCUCAUAUGGGAGGUGCUCCAGCUCUCUGAUCAUCUUCCUUGCUCUCCUUUGGACUCACUCCAACAGAUACAUGUCCUUCCUGUGCUGAGGACUCCAGAACUGGACAUAGUGCUCCAGGUGAGAAUGAGCAACAUGACAUUAGCUCCCUGUUUGACACAUGUGCCUGUGACGUAAAGUCCACUUUUGACAAUAAAAGAUUAUUGUAUUGCUGGAAUUUUAAUAAAAGCAGACUAUGAAAAGACCUCAAGAACCUUCUCAAAUCUAUCCCUGUGUAAUGAGAAAGGAUCAGCCCUAUGUUUUUUUGUUCUCAAAAGCCUUCCAGGACAACUUUUUUCCAGCAGCUUAUUGCAACACUUCCCAGUCCACAUAGUUAACACAUUUUUCAAAAUUCUCUCGGACAGUAUUUCUUGUCCUGUCCACUGUGUCCAUGAUGAUUGCAGUGUCCUGUGUUAGUCAAGUCUUUCAUAAGGUGCAGAACCCGCGCGUGCUCACUUUUCCAUCACAAAUCCUGUUUUUGAGCCCUCUGAUCAUUGCUGUUCACUACUCUCCAUGCUCCUUAAUUAGCCCCCGUGGUUCCUGCAGAGCACAGUCCAAAGCUGGGCUCCAGCUGGUGCUUCCUGUGCCUAAAGGGUGAGAAAGAGCUCCUCUUCAUGUUCUCUUCCAAAGAACUUGAGCUCUUCUCCAGCUCUUCGCCAGACUGUACCUGUGUAGCCAUUUGUUCCUUCCUAAACUGAGCAUCUUGUGCGCAUCCUCAUCAAAGUGUCCUCCCUUUUUCAGACUGCAUUUCUGAUUUCUCAAGAUCCUUAGCAACUCUGGCCCUGUCUUCAUCAUGCAUCCUUGCCUGGCUUUGCCUCCAAAUAUAAACAACAUCCUUUAUAGUCCAUUGAAAAUGCUGAAUAACAUGCCAGCUCUCACACAAUGCCUCUUACACCUUACAGCUGAACCACUGAGAAUUAUUCUCUGAAACAUUCUACACUCAGACCUUUACAGCAUCAUAUCUACCAUGUUUCCUGGGUUAUGAAAAUGGCUCAUCAAA